UGAUCCUGGCUCAGAGCGAACGCUGGCGGCAGGCUUAACACAUGCAAGUCGAGCGGACCUUUCGGGGUCAGCGGCGGACGGGUGAGUAACGCGUGGGAACGUGCCUUCCGGUUCGGAAUAACCCUGGGAAACUAGGGCUAAUACCGGAUACGCCCUUAUGGGGAAAGGUUUACUGCCGGAAGAUCGGCCCGCGUCUGAUUAGCUAGUUGGUGGGGUAACGGCCUACCAAGGCGACGAUCAGUAGCUGGUCUGAGAGGAUGAUCAGCCACACUGGGACUGAGACACGGCCCAGACUCCUACGGGAGGCAGCAGUGGGGAAUAUUGGACAAUGGGCGCAAGCCUGAUCCAGCCAUGCCGCGUGAGUGAUGAAGGCCUUAGGGUUGUAAAGCUCUUUUAUCCGGGACGAUAAUGACGGUACCGGAGGAAUAAGCCCCGGCUAACUUCGUGCCAGCAGCCGCGGUAAU
rnacentral:rRNA from 1 species